CGGGGCGUAGCGCAGUCUGGUUUAGCGCACUUGCAUGGGGCGCAAGAGGUCACCGGUUCGAAUCCGGUCGCCCCGACCA
rnacentral:tRNA from 4 species